rnacentral:rRNA from 1 species
UACGUAGGGUCCGAGCGUUGUCCGGAAUUAUUGGGCGUAAAGGGCUCGUAGGCGGUCUGUCGCGUCGGGAGUGAAAACUCAGGGCUCAACCCUGAGCGUGCUUCCGAUACGGGCAGACUAGAGGUAUGCAGGGGAGAACGGAAUUCCUGGUGUAGCGGUGGAAUGCGCAGAUAUCAGGAGGAACACCGGUGGCGAAGGCGGUUCUCUGGGCAUGACCUGACGCUGAGGAGCGAAAGCCAGGGGAGCAAACGGG